rnacentral:lncRNA from 1 species
CUUGAUUAGAGGUAUAUUUUCGAGGACGAAAAUUCUUAAGUUGGGGAGAGUUGUAACGCCCCAAUUUUAUUUAAUUAUUAUUGGUCGAUUUCAAGUCUUUUUUUUAUAUAUAUGAUUUUAUAUUAUUAUGUGGUGUGUUAUAUUUUAUUAAAUAAGUUAUGUUACUAUUUAAUAGAAUAAGUGGGAAUUUAGAAUAAUUGGAGUUUUGGGGGUUAUAUUUUAAUUAAAGGAAUUAAGUAGGAGUUAAGUGUUAUAAUUGGGGAAGUUAAGAAUAGGGGAGAAGUUGGGAAACUGUCAGUCAGUCAGAAAUAUUUUCACGUGGAAGCAGUUUUUGGGAGAAAAACCAAGAGGGAGCCAAGAGUAUCCAAGAGAAGAUCGUGUAGAGCUUUGUUCAUCAAUCUAAGGUAAGGGUGAGACUAACUCUCAAUAAUUAUAAAUUAUAUAACUUCUGAUUUUGAUUUAACAUAAGGGUGUCGGUUAAAUUUGGGAUUUGGGGUUAGGUUUUGAUCAUUAGAUUUUGAAUUGAAAGUGUAGAAACCAUGAUAAAGAUGAGAGAUUGUGUACUGAUCAUAGAUAUAAUCAUAUAGCGAUGUUGUAAACAAUUUUGGGGAUUGAAUUGGGAAAAAUUGGGACUAGCUUUCUCUAAAGAUGGGUUGUAUAAUUCUGAAAAAGGGUUUAACAUUGUAGUUGUUGAUGAUGAAUUUACAUGCUCAAGUUAUGUAUAUAUGCAUACUUAUGUUUUUGCUCAAAAUUGGUGAAGUAUAAUGUUGUUGUUGAUGAAUUCACUUCUGAUUGUUGUUGUUUUUGUUAUGAGAUGUUGUUUUGAUGAUUGAAACCUUGGGUAAUCUUAACCAUAGAGCUUGAAGUGAACUUUUGUUGUUCUUGAGAACUUUUAUGAAAAGUGUGAUUUUGUAAAUUAAUGUUUUGGGUCAUGUUUUAUAUGGUUCUGAGUGCCUUAACAUGUAUAGAAAUGGUUAGACAAGUUUUUGGAUCAAAUUUGGGCAUAGGGAAGUCAAAAUUGGAAUUUUGGGGUGAAAAAUAGAGUUUUCCCGAGAGCUACCUGUCAUAACUCGCCAUGGCGAGUGGAGUUACUCGCCGGGGCGAGUAGCUCUCUGACAUGAAAGUUGUAGAUAAUUUUGUUAGCUUUCCAAUGGCUUUGGUUUGACUCGAAAAUGAUUUUUAGUUUUUGAGAUAUGAUGAAAAUACUCCAAGGAGGUCUUAGUGAAAUUUUAUGAAAAUUCAGCAAAACCGUUUCUAAGUUAAUCCAAAACUUAUGGGAUAAUUCCAACCCUUAAAACUAGAAGUACUAUGAGUUCAAUUAAGGUGUUUAAGAGUAUUUAACCCAUGUUGUGAGUUGAUCCUUGGGUUAGGAAUGAAAGUUUAUUAAAAUAUUGUUGAUGUUCAGUAAGUCUGAUAUAAGAUGGUUGAGGGUUUUAGUAUUAUGAUGAAUUUGCCAAUGCAUUAUGUAUGAUGUUUAAGUAGUGUUGAUUAUCAUUUGGUAUUGUCAUAUUAUGUGUUACUAGUGUUGUUGUUGGAUCUUAAUUAAGAUGUGAAUGUUGGUUUAAAUUGUAAGCGUGCUGGGUUGUACGUUGCCGAAUGAGUCAUAAGUAAGUUAUGCAAAUUGUCGAUGUUGUUAUCAUCGUUGGUGUUGUUGUUGAAGUCGUAGUUGUAUCCGUUGUUGGUGAUUGAUCAGGUUAGAUGUUUCUAUAAGAGGUGGUGUACUCUUACGUGUCGUCUUUAUAAGAGGUGGUGUACUCUUACUUGUCGUUUUUAUAAGAGGUGGUGUACUCUUACUUGUCGUUUUAUAAGAGGUGGUGUACUCUUACUUUAUCGUUUUUCUAAGAGGUGGUGUACUCUUACUUUGUUGUUGUCUAUGAGAGGUGGUGUACUCUUACGUGGUCUAUGUUGAUGAGUAUGACGAGGUUAUGAUGAUCUUCUAUAGUGUUGAAUGUGAGGUUGUUAUGAUAUUACAUGAUGUUACCUAUGAGUUAUUAAAUGUACUUGAUGAGGGUUAUGUUAAGUUGUCUUCUAUUCAUGAGCACUAAGGGGAUGUUAAGAAGAAGAAUUAUUGAGUGUAUAUGAUGAUGUCUAUGUUGUUAAUUGUAAUUGAUGAAUUUUAUGCUUAUUAUUAUUGUUUGAGAAAUCUCACCCCUUCUGCUUGGAAAUGUUACCCUUCGUAUGGGUAACUUGCAGGUAUUUGAAGAUUAGUAGGAGUGGUGGCUUAAAGUGUCUAGGGCUCUGAUACGUACGAGAUGGGAUUUUCUUAUUGUUUUUCAUUCCUAUGUAUCAAUUUUUGAAUAUUGCUGACGUAGCCCUAUGGUUGUUGAAUUUAUGUUGAUAAGGCUUUUAUGCCAAGAUUUAAUUAUGGAGAUUUAAACAGUUGAUGUUGUUGUUUUGAUGC